AUUGAACGCUGGCGGAAUGCUUUACACAUGCAAGUCGAACGGCAGCACGGACUUCGGUCUGGUGGCGAGUGGCGAACGGGUGAGUAAUACAUCGGAACGUGCCCAAUCGUGGGGGAUAACGUAGCGAAAGCUACGCUAAUACCGCAUACGAUCUAAGGAUGAAAGCGGGGGAUCGCAAGACCUCGCGCGAUUGGAGCGGCCGAUGGCAGAUUAGGUAGUUGGUAGGGUAAAGGCCUACCAAGCCGACGGUCUGUAGCUGGGCUGAGAGGAUGAUCAGCCACACUGGGACUGAGACCCGGCCCAGACGCCUACGGGAGGCAGCAGUGGGGAAUUUUGGACAAUGGACGCAAGUCUGAUCCAGCCAUUCCGCGUGCAGGAUGAAGGCCCUCGGGUUGUAAACUGCUUUUGUACAGAACGAAAAGGCUCUGGUUAAUACCUAGGGCUCAUGACGGUACUGUAAGAAUAAGCACCGGCUAACUACGUGCCAGCCGCCGCCGUAA
rnacentral:rRNA from 1 species